CCAAAGGCUUCAUCAUUUUGCAGGUAAUAUCUGGUUUUGGAACUUGUUCCGUUUUUCUGCAACCUGAACUGACAGAUGGAAGUUAAUAGCAGUGGAGGCUGACAAAACAAUGAAUCUUCUUUGCACUCUGGUGACUGACUUCAGGAAUACAUCUUAGGAUUUCAU
rnacentral:lncRNA from 1 species